GAUGAACGCUGGCGGCGUGCCUAAUACAUGCAAGUAGAACGCUGAAGGAGGAGCUUGCUCUUCUGGAUGAGUUGCGAAUGGGUGAGUAACGCGUAGGUAACCUGCCUGGUAGCGGGGGAUAACUAUUGGAAACGAUAGCUAAUACCGCAUGACAACAGUUAUUGCAUGAUAACUGUUUAAAAGGGGCAACUGCUCCACUACCAGAUGGACCUGCGUUGUAUUAGCUAGUUGGUGAGGUAACGGCUCACCAAGGCGACGAUACAUAGCCGACCUGAGAGGGUGAUCGGCCACACUGGGACUGAGACACGGCCCAGACUCCUACGGGAGGCAGCAGUAGGGAAUCUUCGGCAAUGGACGGAAGUCUGACCGAGCAACGCCGCGUGAGUGAAGAAGGUUUUCGGAUCGUAAAGCUCUGUUGUAAGAGAAGAACGAGUGUGAGAGUGGAAAGUUCACACUGUGACGGUAUCUUACCAGAAAGGGACGGCUAACUACGUG
rnacentral:rRNA from 1 species